CCAAAACCAACAGAACAAAACAAAAUAAUAGGAUUUUUUUUUAAGGUUGUUUUUACUUUUCAAUAGAAAAUGAUCAAGCAAAAGUAGUUGAGUACUGGCCAACAUUCCUUAUGAGAGGAAAUUAUACUUGGAAUUGACACUCCCUCCUUUAACUUGUUAGGCAGUGAUUAAGGUCUGGUGUUUAUCAGGAUAGAUCAGGCAGUCUGCUCGGAAGAUUGUGUGGUACUGAUCUGCGCACUGUGAUAAGCCCCUAGACAUCUUUCUUGAAGGAUUACGGUAAACUUGUCAAUCAGUGCCCAGAGGCAGUCAACACAAUGCAGUUGUGCCAGAUACGUAGAGUGACUUGCCAAGAUACUCUCUCUGCAUCACUGAGGUUGGUAUCCAUGUUGUGCUGCUCCUCCAUCUUCCCUGCUCAUUGAACCACUCAUCCUGGGUGAGGUGACGGGGAACUUGUGCUUUUAACUCUUCGCUGCUUUUGAAAAUAUUGCCUUGCUAUCACAUGGGAAAUGGUCGUGUCAGAUGGUUAUGUUUGUUCCAGAGUGUGUAAAGAAAUGUUUACAUAGAAACUAUAACUAGAAAUGAAGGCAUGUACAUGAAAGCCAAGUGAUAAGAUACAACUUGAAAAUUUUCAGAGCAAGGACAAUCAUUUCACCUUUUUGUUGGAUAUAGCUGGGCAAGAGAAAGAAAUGCUGAGUCUCAUAUGAUCUUAAUUACAUGCUGUGGGUGCCAGCAAUAUUCAGGCUACGUGUGGAUAUUUGACUGAGGCUCAGUGUGUGAAUUUUGUCACUAGCGGAGUAUGUUGCACACAGAACUGGACAUGAGCCAUCAUUCACAAUUCAGACAAACAACAAGUUCUUCAGAGAAUAGAAAGAAAUGUUCAGUUAACCAUAAAAUCUGUGGCAUGAUUCACUGUACCCUGAUGCUCUUUGGAGACAGAAACACUUAAAGCUGCAAAGUAAGGCCCUUUUUGUGAGGCUCUCUGAUUAGAUUGGAACCACCAACUAUUCAAUCCAUUGUACAAAAUCUCUUUCACAAUUCUCAGCAGUUUUUGUCUAGACCUGUAGCACUAUUAUUUUGGGCUUCAGUUGCAAAUCUAUGGCCUCCCUCCAAAACAUCCCUGUGAUUUUUGGGGCGUCUUGGCAGAGGGUGAACUUGGAUGUGACAGCAUCUGGACAUCCAUGCAUUUUCUGGAGCCCUGUUGUGUAGAUGACAGUUGAGUGAAUGGGUAAGUGCCAGAGAUGGGAUGUUCUGCUUGAUUCCAACUGCAGCAAAGUGCCAGUUCCCCUGUGAGUUUGAACAGGAGGAUCCAGGUGAAAGAGAUAGUGUUGGAAGAUUUUCAUUUGUCUAGAUAUUUGGCCUUUGGGCUGUGUCUUGACUGAAGGCCUGCAAGACUUUACCUGUCUCAGUAUAAUCCACCGGGUGGGUCAGGCAGCAGCUCUAGAGCCGUACUCAUUCUCUCACUUAGACACCUGCAGUGCAGUGAGAUGGCAUGCUUGUCACAGCCUCGCCCACAGGAUAUAUCUUAGUCUGGCCCUGCAACGGCAGUGAAGUCAUGGGGAGCAACUUCUGCCAUUUUUUUUCUGCAGGGAUAUCCUUCACAUUGUCUCUGAAAGUGAAGAUGGGCCACACAAUGUGCUGCAUCUGGAAGGAGGGGGGCUCAGAGCGUUGUCCCUGUGCUCCUCCGAGAUUGCAUUCUCAGUAGAAAAUCUAAACUAUCAGGGAGGAUGUUCUUCUGGCCAGCUAUGUGCUGACAAAGUUACUGCUCUUGUGAUCAGCAAUAAAGGUUUUGCUGCUGCUUAGAAAUAUGCUGGAGUUUCAGAUCAGAAUGAGAAUCAAUUCUGCAUGUGGUUGCUCACCUUGUGUCUUUUCUGUUCAUGAGGGCUCAUCAUACAAUGUUCAGGCAGAGAAUGUCUAUUGCAGAAAUGCAUCGUAUCCCAGCAGUUAAGUCAAAUGGCAGCAAACUAGCUUACUUACCUAAAAGAACAAAUGUGAACGUAUGGAGAUAGCCUUUUUUUUUCUUAACCUUCAGAAGUAUCAACAAAGAUUUUCAUGUUUGUAAAUUGUCAUUUUCUUUGAGUAAACCUUAUGGAAAAGUCAAGGGAUUUAUUUAUUUAUUAAGUGAAAAAUGUAGUGGAAACUAUACUACAGCUUUAGUUCUCAUCAUCAGUUGAAAAACAGAAGUUGCAGUAGAGGAGGAAAACAAACACCAAAGAUCAGGUGUAAGUCACAGUGAAAACAGCAGAGACAUCUUUAGCGUCAGAGACAUCUUUAGCUUCCUGAGGCACUCACCUGUCCCUCCAGGUGAGAGAAGACUUCUCUUCCUUGACCCCUGUGAGCAUUUGUCCUCUGACAACUGAACCAAUUGCUAUUGGAAGUGACCAACAUGAGAAUGAUAUCAUUGCUUUUGAGAAACACAUCUGGUCAACCACUGCUAUCUUUCUCUUCUCCCCCACUUGCUGUAACACCUAGAUUCUUUUGAAAUGGAAGGGGAGAGACUGGCCUUUCAGUGUAUAAAAUGGGAUCAAAUGUAUGUACAACUAUUGAUUUAAUCUUGUGCCUGAAAGGGCUGGGAUUUUUUCUUUUAUUUCCUUUUUCUUCAAGUUCUAUUUUUGAGAAGCAGAAGAGCAAAACAAAGGUGUUGAGCUCAGCCAGUGGUCCUCAGGCUGAAAGGCCAGAGCCAGAACUGCAUAGCCCUCUGUGAGCUUUGCUCUUGCUGGACUAAAUCAGGUUUGAAUGUAGGUACUUGAUUUUUAAUUCCUGUCUGGGUUUUGGUCACUGUUAGUGAGUUAUAAUGGGACAGACUGCCCUCACUGCACUGAGUCUGGGUCUGGGUGCCAGCAGCACACUACAGGGUUAUGCCAGUUUACAGUUGCUGACAUUACAUCUCUGUGUAGUUUCUGACAGAUUACAGUUGUGUCUAUGCUGUAGCAGGCCCCAGCCAGCAGCAGCAGGGGGUGUCAGUGCUGCCCGCUGUGCUGACAGAGGAAGCAGUGAGGUGGGAGCAGGGUGCUGCACCCAGAGUUGCACAACUACCCUCCUCUCUGGGGGUUGCUGAUUCAGCCUCCAAAUCCUGCUCCAGAGCAGAGGUGUUUUAUCAAAUAAAAGCCUGUGUAGCAAUUAGGGAUGCUGAAGUCAUGCUAAGAUCUGACUAUGGACUCUGUAAGUCACUAAGGAUCAGAGGGCAGAGCAGGGCAAUUCUUGGGAAGGCAAAAUGGAAAUGGAAAGAUGUGGACUUGAUAACGUAAAUUAGCUUGCUUUCAUUUGUGUACAACAGCUGCUGUUCGACCUAGGAGAAGGAAGAAUAAUAUUCUAGAAAACGAGAUCAGUCUAAGGAGGAAAAAUAAAGACAUCUGCCUGAAUUGUAUUUCUGAUAUAUUAGUGAUUUCAGCUCUCUCUUUUUCCUAGCUGAGGCAGGAAUCCUAUGGAAGCAGCUUUUGAAGAUGAGCUGCUUCCUAAAGGACAGGAGCAAGUUGAUACUACUUUGUGCCACUGUGUACCUGGGCAGGGCUGGUCUCUGGAGCUGUAAAAAGACACAACGGGGCUCAGGGUCAGGUGGUGGCAGGGAGUAACAGUUCUCUGCAGGUAGGGGACAGAAGAAUGGGGCAGAAGAAAGAAUAGAUUAGAAUAAUGUAGUCCAAAAUUUUGUUGUUACCACAAUCUGAAUUCUCAGCUGGAGUUGGCUUUGUGGGAGGCACAGAAAUGCUUAUCUAUGCCAGAUGAGGAGCUGAGCUUGAUAUGCAAUGGUGAUGGGUUAUACUGUUUUGAUAUCAGUGCAAGGAAGUUUUUAACUCCAUAAGUGCAAUCAGAGGGAAAAAUACUGCCUAGAGGGAAGCAUAAAAGAUCCUCACUUUCCAGGCCAGCAACUUGUGGUUUGGGCUGUCAGGCUUCGGCUGUGCAGUCACAACUGUGUGCUGGGUCUGAUAAGGAAAGGAAAGGUAAGGUAA
ensembl:lncRNA